rnacentral:rRNA from 1 species
CAGUCGCCGCGGUAACACGAAGGUCCCAAGCGUUGUUCGGAAUCACUGGGCGUAAAGGGAGCGUAGGCGGCGUGGUAAGCCAGAUGUGAAAUCCCGGGGCUCAACCCCGGAACUGCAUCCGAUACUGCCAUGCUUGAGGGUUGGAGAGGUAGCUGGAAUUCUCGGUGUAGCAGUGAAAUGCGUGGAUAUCGAGAGGAACACUCGUGGCGGAGGCGAGCUACUGGACAACAUCUGACGCUGAGGCUCGAAGGCUAGGGUAGCGAAAGGGAUUAGAUACCCGUGUAGUCCCUGUCUCUUAUAC